UAGAUGGAUUUGUAACUGGUACUUGGUAUGUAGUCCUCAACAGAACUGCAUCCACAUGAGGGGAACAACAUACUAGCAAAAGGCAAAGGCUUCAGGCUGGCAGUGCUCUUUAUAGAAGGCUUUCAGCUGUUAGCCAAUAACAAGCUAACGGUUAGCAUGGACCAGAGUAAAACCUUCCAGCAGCACCUGCACAUACACAACAUUUAUUCUGUUUUAUUAUAAAAGGUAAAAUAGAAAAUAGAAAAACAAAUAAAGCAAAACAAAAUGUG